rnacentral:rRNA from 1 species
CCCGGCACAAGCGGUGGAGCAUGUGGUUUAAUUCGACGCAACGCGCAGAACCUUACCUGGGCUUGACAUCCCGAUCGCAUCCCAUGGAAACAUGGGAGUCAGUUCGGCUGGAUCGGUGACAGGUGCUGCAUGGCUGUCGUCAGCUCGCGUCGUGAGAUGUUGGGUUAAGUCCCGCAACGAGCGCAACCCUCGACCUUAGUUGCCAGCAUUCAGUUGGGCACUCUAAGGUGACUGCCGGCUAAAAGUCGGAGGAAGGUGGGGAUGACGUCAAAUCAUCAUGCCCCUUAUGACCUGGGCUACACACGUGCUACAAUGGGCGGUACAAAGGGUCGCGAACCCGCGAGGUGGAGCAAAUCGCAGAAAAUCGUCCUCAGUUCGGAUUGGAGUCUGAAACCCGACUCCAUGAAGGUGGAAUCGCUAGUAAUCGCGCAUCAGCAUGGCGCGGUGAAUACGUUCCCGGGCCUU